rnacentral:tRNA from 1 species
UGGAAUAUAGCUCAGUUGGUAGAGCAUACGACUGUUAAUCGUAGAGUCAUGAGUUCGAGUCUCAUUAUUCCAG